ACUUGCCUGUCUUCUGUUUAAAAACAUUGGCCCGCGCUUCCCAAUACAGUUCCCGCUUCCCCAGAAGUGGAGGCGAGGAUGAAGAAGACCGGCCCCAGACCACCGCUCUAGUCCCCUCUCUGUCUUCUGUUACAGAGGCAGUAAGCUAUUGGCAGCUUUUGCUCUUUUGUGGACUGUUGGAGAUGCCACAACAGAGACCCGAUGUCCCUCUGAGCUUGGCGUGUCCUUUGUAGUAUGGUAAGUACAAAAAGGAAGAUGAGAACCUCCACACAAUAUUUCAGAAUCUCUCAAACGCUAUGACAUGAAGAAAUUAGACUUCUCAGUUUCUUCUUCUCCCCAUUGUCCAGAUGCUCCCAGGUAAUUCGCAGCUCUGCUCCCACACCCUCAGCUUUGCACCCCUCUUACUAUCGUCCUUUGUACCCCUUCCUGAAUUUGCCAGA
rnacentral:lncRNA from 1 species